rnacentral:rRNA from 1 species
ACCACAACGGGUGGAGCCUGCGGUUUAAUUGGACUCAACGCCGGGCAGCUCACCGGAUAAGACAGCUGGAUGAUAGCCGGGCUGAAGACUCUGCUUGACUAGCUGAGAGGAGGUGCAUGGCCGUCGUCAGUUCGUACUGUGAAGCAUCCUGUUAAGUCAGGCAACGAGCGAGACCCACGCCAACAGUUGCCAGCAUGUCCUCCGGGAUGAUGGGGACACUGUUGGGACCGCCUCUGCUAAAGAGGAGGAAGGAAUGGGCAACGGUAGGUCAGCAUGCCCCGAAUUAUCCGGGCUACACGCGGGCUACAAUGGUCAGGACAAUGGGUAUCGACACCGAGAGGUGGAGGCAAUCUCCUAAACCUGUCCUUAGUUCGGAUUGUGGGCUGCAACUCGCCCACAUGAAGCUGGAAUCCGUAGUAAUCGCGUUUCAAAAUAGCGCGGUGAAUAUGUCCCUGCUCCUU